rnacentral:rRNA from 1 species
CUCGCCUACAUGAAGCUGGAAUUGCUAGUAAUCACAGGUCAGCAUACUGUGGUGAAUACGUUCCCGGGCCUUGUACACACCGCCCGUCACACCAUGAGAGUUGAGAAUACCCGAAGUCCAUGUCAAAGUGGCCGAAGGUAGGCUUGAUGAUUGGGGUGAAGUCGUAACAAGGUAGC